AUUUCUUCACUCCAUCCACCUAAUGGAGAAGUGCAGUUGUCUCCGCCACUUUGUUGCUGGUGCAUUCUGUGGAAAAAAGGGAGAAAACACAAUAUUAAGCUAAAUUUAAAUAUGAAGAUUAGAGUUUGUUUUUUCUUCAUUUGACCCUGCCAUCCAAUCAACCCAGUCAGUCAUAAUCUCAAGUAUUUAACUUACAAAGGAAUGCAUUGCCCAGCACUGGCUCGCUGGCUGGCUGACAAGCGAAGUUCAAAAAAAACAUUGUUUUCACUUCUCGUAAAUUCUUAACUAAGUACACAGCCAGCCAUUGGACUGGAACUGCAAGCAAGCUGGAAGAAGACACCAAUCGACCACAACGAUUAUAGUUGCUCUGCUGCUGAUAACCUUUGGACAUUUA